rnacentral:rRNA from 1 species
UACGUAGGGUGCGAGCGUUAAUCGGAAUUACUGGGCGUAAAGCGUGCGCAGGCGGUGAUGUAAGACAGAUGUGAAAUCCCCGGGCUCAACCUGGGAACUGCAUUUGUGACUGCAUCGCUGGAGUGCGGCAGAGGGGGAUGGAAUUCCGCGUGUAGCAGUGAAAUGCGUAGAGAUCAGGAGGAAUACCGAUGGCGAAGGCAGGUCUCUGGGCUGACACUGACGCUCAUGCACGAAAGCGUGGGGAGCAAACAGG